UGGGGAAUUUUGCGCAAUGGGGGAAACCCUGACGCAGCAACGCCGCGUGCGGGAUGACGGCCUUCGGGUUGUAAACCGCUUUCAGCAGGGAAGAUAGUGACGGUACCUGCAGAAGAAGCUCCGGCUAACUACGUGCCAGCAGCCGCGGUAAUACGUAGGGAGCAAGCGUUAUCCGGAUUCAUUGGGCGUAAAGAGCACGUAGGCGGUAACCUAAGUCAGAUGUGAAAGACCAGGGCUUAACUCUGGGGUUGCAUACGAAACUGGGUAACUAGAGUGCAGGAGAGGAAAGUGGAAUUCCUAGUGUAGCGGUGAAAUGCGUAGAUAUUAGGAGGAACACCAGUGGCGAAGGCGGCUUUCUGGACUGUAACUGACGCUGAGGUGCGAAAGCCAGGGGAGCGAACG
rnacentral:rRNA from 1 species